AUUGAACGCUAGCGGCAUGCCUAACACAUGCAAGUCGAACGGAGUGGCGAACGGGUGAGUAAUGUAUCGGAACGUGCCCCGUAGCGGGGGGUAACUACGCGAACGCGUAGCUAAUACCGCAUACUAUUGGAGCGGCCGAUAGCGGAGUAGCUAGUUGGUGGGGUAACGGCCGACCAAGGCGACGAUCCGUAGCUGGUUUGAGAGGACGACCAGUCACACUGGGACUGAGACACGGCCCAGACUCCUACGGGAGGCAGCAGUGGGGAAUAUUGGACAAUGGGGGAAACCCUGAGCCAGCCAUGCCGCGUGUGUGAUGAAGGCCUUCGGGUUGUAAAGCACUUUUGGCAGGAAAGCGGUACCUGCAGAAUAAGCACCGGCUAACUACGUGCCAGCAGCCGCGGUAAUUC
rnacentral:rRNA from 1 species